rnacentral:rRNA from 1 species
AUUGAACGCUGGCGGCAUGCUUUACACAUGCAAGUCGAACGGUAACAGGCCGCAAGGUGCUGACGAGUGGCGAACGGGUGAGUAAUGCAUCGGAACGUGCCCAGUCGUGGGGGAUAACUACUCGAAAGAGUAGCUAAUACCGCAUACGAUCUAUGGAUGAAAGCGGGGGACCGUAAGGCCUCGCGCGAUUGGAGCGGCCGAUGUCAGAUUAGGUAGUUGGUGGGGUAAAGGCUCACCAAGCCAACGAUCUGUAGCUGGUCUGAGAGGACAACCAGCCACACUGGGACUGAGACACGGCCCAGACUCCUACGGGAGGCAGCAGUGGGGAAUUUUGGACAAUGGGCGCAAGCCUGAUCCAGCAAUGCCGCGUGCAGGAAGAAGGCCUUCGGGUUGUAAACUACUUUUGUACGGAACGAAACGGCUCUGGUUAAUACCCGGGGCUAAUGACGGUACCGUAAGAAUAAGCACCGGCUAACUACGUG